rnacentral:rRNA from 1 species
AUUGAACGCUGGCGGCAUGCUUUACACAUGCAAGUCGAACGGUAACAGGCCUUCGGUUGCUGACGAGUGGCGAACGGGUGAGUAAUGCAUCGGAACGUGCCCAGCGGUGGGGGAUAACGCAGCGACAGCUGUGCUAAUACCGCAUGUGAUCUGAGGAUGAAAGCGGGGGACCAGGCAGCAAUGUUUGGCCUCGCGCCUUUGGAGCGGCCGAUGUCCGUUUAGGUAGUUGGUGGGGUAAAGGCCUACCAAGCCGACGAUCUGUAGCUGGUCUGAGAGGACGACAAGCCACAUGGGGACUGAGACACGGACCAGGCUCCUACGGGAGGCAGCAGAGGGGAAUGUUGGACAGUGGGCGCAAGCCUGAUCCAGCAAUGCCGCGUGCGAGAAGAAGGCCUUCGGGUUGUAAACAGCUUUUGUGCGGAGCGAAAAGGCUCUGGCUAAUACCUGGGGCUGAUGACGGUAACGUAAGAAUAAGCACCGGCUAACUACGUG